rnacentral:rRNA from 1 species
UACGUAGGGGGCAAGCGUUGUCCGGAAUUAUUGGGCGUAAAGAGCUCGUAGGCGGUUGGGCAAGUCACGUGUGAAAUCUCCACGCUCAACGUGGAGGCGUCACGUGAGACUGCCCUGACUCGAGUCCGGUAGAGGAGCGUGGAAUUCCCGGUGUAGCGGUGAAAUGCGCAGAGAUCGGGAGGAACACCCGUAGCGAAGGCGGCGCUCUGGGCCGGUACUGACGCUGAGGAGCGAAAGCGUGGGGAGCAAACAGG